CCCUCCUACAAAGGUGUGUCUGUGGUUCCCUGUCUUUGAACACAUAAGAAUUGGAGGCAAAGCAAUGCGGACUUGGAGAAGUCUGGAGCCAGCUUGCUCCCUGCAGGCUCAAGAUCAACCAUCUCACAUAG